CGCUGGCGGCAGGCCUAACACAUGCAAGUCGAACGCCCCUUCGGGGGAGUGGCGGACGGGUGAGUAACGCGUGGGAACGUGCCCUUUGGUACGGAACAACUGAGGGAAACUUCAGCUAAUACCGUAUGUGCCCCCAUUCUUAGCGGGAUGGGUGGGAAAGAUUUAUCGCCAUUGGAGCGGCCCGCGUUAGAUUAGCUAGUUGGUAGGGUAAUGGCCUACCAAGGCGACGAUCUAUAGCUGGUCUGAGAGGAUGAUCAGCCACACUGGGACUGAGACACGGCCCAGACUCCUACGGGAGGCAGCAGUGGGGAAUCUUGCGCAAUGGGCGAAAGCCUGACGCAGCCAUGCCGCGUGAAUGAUGAAGGUCUUAGGAUUGUAAAAUUCUUUCACCGGGGACGAUAAUGACGGUACCCGGAGAAGAAGCCCCGGCUAACUUCGUG
rnacentral:rRNA from 1 species